AUAGAGUCAAGUGAAUAAGUGCAUCAGGCGGAUGCCUUGGCGAUGAUAGGCGACGAAGGACGUGUAAGCCUGCGAAAAGCGUGGAGGAGCCGGCAAUAAAGCUAUGAUCCCACGAUGUCCGAAUGGGGAAACCCACCUCUUAGGAGGUAUCCUUAUCUGAAUACAUAGGAUAAGCGAAGCGAACCCGGAGAACUGAACCAUCUAAGUACCCGGAGGAAAAGAAAUCAACCGAGAUUCCGCAAGUAGUGGCGAGCGAACGCGGAGGAGCCUGUACGUGAUAACUGUCGAGAUAGAAGAACAAGCUGGGAAGCUUGACCAUAGUGGGUGAUAGUCCCGUAUUCGAAAUCUCAAUAGUGGUACUAAGCGUACGAAAAGUAGGGCGGGACACGUGAAAUCCUGUCUGAAUAUGGGGGGACCAUCCUCCAAGGCUAAAUACUCAUCAUCGACCGAUAGUGAACCAGUACCGUGAGGGAAAGGCGAAAAGAACCCCGGGAGGGGAGUGAAAUAGAACCUGAAACCUGAUGCAUACAAACAGUGGGAGCACCCUUGUGGUGUGACUGCGUACCUUUUGUAUAAUGGGUCAACGACUUACAUUCAGUAGCGAGCUUAACCGAAUAGGGGAGGCGUAGGGAAACCGAGUCUUAAUAGGGCGAACAGUUGCUGGGUGUAGACCCGAAACCGAGUGAUCUAUCCAUGGCCAGGUUGAAGGUGCCGUAACAGGUACUGGAGGACCGAACCCACGCAUGUUGCAAAAUGCGGGGAUGAGCUGUGGAUAGGGGUGAAAGGCUAAACAAACUCGGAGAUAGCUGGUUCUCCCCGAAAACUAUUUAGGUAGUGCCUCGAGCAAGACACUGAUGGGGGUAAAGCACUGUUAUGGCUAGGGGGUUAUUGCAACUUACCAACCCAUGGCAAACUAAGAAUACCAUCAAGUGGUUCCUCGGGAGACAGACAGCGGGUGCUAACGUCCGUUGUCAAGAGGGAAACAACCCAGACCGCCAGCUAAGGUCCCAAAUGAUAGAUUAAGUGGUAAACGAAGUGGGAAGGCCCAGACAGCCAGGAUGUUGGCUUAGAAGCAGCCAUCAUUUAAAGAAAGCGUAAUAGCUCACUGGUCGAGUCGUCCUGCGCGGAAGAUGUAACGGGGCUCAAAUCUAUAACCGAAGCUGCGGAUGCCAGUUUACUGGCAUGGUAGGGGAGCGUUCUGUAGGCCGAUGAAGGUGCAUUGUAAAGUGUGCUGGAGGUAUCAGAAGUGCGAAUGUUGACAUGAGUAGCGAUAAAGCGGGUGAAAAGCCCGCUCGCCGAAAGCCCAAGGUUUCCUACGCAACGUUCAUCGGCGUAGGGUGAGUCGGCCCCUAAGGCGAGGCAGAAAUGCGUAGUCGAUGGGAAACAGGUUAAUAUUCCUGUACUUGAUUCAAAUGCGAUGUGGGGACGGAGAAGGUUAGGUUGGCAAGCUGUUGGAAUAGCUUGUUUAAGCCGGUAGGUGGAAGACUUAGGCAAAUCCGGGUCUUCUUAACACCGAGAAGUGACGACGAGUGUCUACGGACACGAAGUAACCGAUACCACGCUUCCAGGAAAAGCCACUAAGCUUCAGUUUGAAUCGAACCGUACCGCAAACCGACACAGGUGGGCAGGAUGAGAAUUCUAAGGCGCUUGAGAGAACUCAGGAGAAGGAACUCGGCAAAUUGAUACCGUAACUUCGGGAGAAGGUAUGCCCUCUAAGGUUAAGGACUUGCUCCGUAAGCCCCGGAGGGUCGCAGAGAAUAGGUGGCUGCGACUGUUUAUUAAAAACACAGCACUCUGCUAACACGAAAGUGGACGUAUAGGGUGUGACGCCUGCCCGGUGCUGGAAGGUUAAUUGAAGAUGUGAGAGCAUCGGAUCGAAGCCCCAGUAAACGGCGGCCGUAACUAUAACGGUCCUAAGGUAGCGAAAUUCCUUGUCGGGUAAGUUCCGACCCGCACGAAUGGCGUAACGAUGGCCACACUGUCUCCUCCUGAGACUCAGCGAAGUUGAAGUGGUUGUGAAGAUGCAAUCUACCCGCUGCUAGACGGAAAGACCCCGUGAACCUUUACUGUAGCUUUGCAUUGGACUUUGAAGUCACUUGUGUAGGAUAGGUGGGAGGCUUUGAAGCAGAGACGCCAGUCUCUG
rnacentral:rRNA from 1 species